rnacentral:rRNA from 1 species
UACGGAGGGUGCGAGCGUUGUCCGGAAUUAUUGGGCGUAAAGAGCUCGUAGGCGGUCUGUUGCGUCCGCUGUGAAAACUCGGGGCUUAACCCCGAGCCUGCAGUGGAUACGGGCAGACUAGAGUGCGGUAGGGGUGACUGGAAUUCUCGGUGUAGCAGUGAAUUGCGUAGAUAUCGAGAGGAACACCAGUGGCGAAGGCGAGUCUCUGGACGACUCCUGACACUGAGGCACGAAAGCUAGGGGAGCAAACAGG